GACGAACGCUGGCGGCGUGCUUAACACAUGCAAGUCGAACGAAGAGCGAUGGAAGCUUGCUUCUAUCAAUCUUAGUGGCGAACGGGUGAGUAACGCGUAAUCAACCUGCCCUUCAGAGGGGGACAACAGUUGGAAACGACUGCUAAUACCGCAUACGAUCUAAUCUCGGCAUCGAGGAUAGAUGAAAGGUGGCCUCUACAUGUAAGCUAUCACUGAAGGAGGGGAUUGGGGCUGAUUAGCUAGUUGGAGGGGUAACGGCCCACCAAGGCGAUGAUCAGUAGCCGGGUUGGGAGGAUGAACGGCCACAUUGGGACUGAGACACGGCCCAGACCCCUACGGGAGGCAGCAGUGGGGAAUCUUCCGCAAUGGACGAAAGUCUGACGGAGCAACGCCGCGUGAGUGAUGACGGCCUUCGGGUUGUAAAGCUCUGUUAAUCGGGACGAAAGGCCUUCUUGCGAAUAGUGAGAAGGAUUGACGGUACCGGAAUAGAAAGCCACGGCUAACUACGUG
rnacentral:rRNA from 1 species